GGAAAGAUGACGUCUUAAUAUAUAGUGAAUAUUUACAAAUAAAUUAAUUAAAAGAAUCAGUUAAUAUUACUGGACGUUGUGUGUCUAUCUGGACAAAACUGAGCGUUUGUUAUUCACUGUAAAAUAAAGUAUACAAAAUUUGUGUAUUUCAGUGUGUUUCUUCCAAUCAUUAUGAAUCUACUAUUUACAUGCCAUUAAUAGGCUAUAUGUUUAAAAAUUUAGAUCUCAUAAUAAUUUUAAUUUGUCUAAUAAUAUAAUCUUUGAGGCACUACUUGUUUUAUUUUUGUGAGUAACAUUAACGGUGCCACUUGUAAGUAGUACGCUAAUUACAAAAAAAAAUUAACGGAUGCACUUAUUAAAUUUUUUUGCGUAUUGUUCGGCAACUCUCAGCGGUGACACUAAGCAUUAAUCUUUCGAUAUUAAAAAGUUGUCCAGAAAGUAAGUUUACACGGCCAUUGUCCAGGCUGGCACAAUCCCCGUUUCCCACUCCCGUCUCAUAAGAAAAUUCUGCAAAGGAGAAGAAAAAAUAAUAAAGCUGUGGUAUUCGGAUUAUCGUGGACGAGGAUAAAGCAUUAAAUGGGGCUAAAGGGGCCUGAAUAGACGCAGUGGCGUGCGAAGAGAAGCAGAGUAAUUAUUGCUUCAUAAUUGUGUUCUUUUUCUUUUUUCAGACAGCAUCACGCUGCAGAGCCCCACUUGGAGCGGUUGUGACAUUUAGGAGGCCGGUCUUUGUGCUCAACACUUCAAGUUUAAAAAACAAGGCCAAUUGAGUCGGCGCAGCUCAAAGCCCCAACCAUUGUGAGGGACCACAUUGAGUUUGGAUUUGGGACAAUGGGAGGCAGAUGUGGAAGGAUGGAGGCCGCAUUUUAAUUGGCUGCUGCCUGAACACACACUCGCAUCAUUUCAUCUGUCAUCGGCGCUGUGCAUCCUUAGUGUUAAAAGUGGAAUUGAGUCUAGAGAGUAAGAUUACAGUAAUAAGUUGUUUUUUAAUGUGGUCUUAUAAUUUCUCUUUCUCUCUCUAAUAUGGCUUGGACGCCUUAAUAAAGUUAUUUACCAUCUUGGAAUUUUACUAUUUGCAGUUAGAACCAAAAAAGGAAGACCGCAGUAUCUAGUGUAGUUAUAGCUACUAUAUUUUACCGACCAGAUCAAAAACAGACUGCAUGAAGAUGCAACACACAGUUCCGUUUUUAAAGUCUUCCAUGAAGAUUUAGGAAACUUGUUUUGUA
ensembl:lncRNA